rnacentral:misc_RNA from 1 species
GAUGAAGAACGUAGCGAAACGCGAUAUGUAAUGUGAAUUGCAGAAUUCAGUGAAUCAUCGAAUCUUUGAACGCACAUGGCGCCUUCCAGUAUCCUGGGAGGCAUGCCUGUCCGAGCGUCGUUUCAACCCUCGAGCCCCCGUGGCCCGGCGUUGGGGAUCUGCCCAGGCAGUCCCCGAAAACCAGUGGCGGACCCGUUAGGCCCUUCCUUUGCGUAGUAGCAUCAGCCUCGCAUCGGGAGCCGGCGGGCUCUCCUGCCUCUAAACCCCCCAACAAGCCCGCUCCGGCGGCACCAAGGUUGACCUCGGAUCAGGUAGGAAUACCCGCUGAACUUAAGCAUAUCAAUAAGCGGAGGA